GGCAUCUGGGUGGAGGCUUCUCAUCCAAACCGUACACAUGGAGUUUUUCCCUAGGUGGGUGUUCAAGUUUGGCCAGAAACCAUCGUUUUUAUGUCCGUUUAAGCCACACUCACUGGGCACUUAGUAGAAAUGGGUUGAUGUCAGUUCAAUUAAAGAGUGAGUGACCUCUGCUGGGCCCUUGCUGCUCAUCUGUCCACAGGAUGGCCGGCUCCUGCCAGAGUUCAACAUGGCGGAGCCUCCCUUGAUCUUCGAAUGCAACCACGCGUGCUCCUGCUGGAGGAACUGCCGAAAUCGCGUCGUACAGAAUGGUCUCAGGCUGAGGCUGUGGCCUGGGUCCACCACUACUCUCUAUUUUUCAGGGCAAGGCUGCAGCUCUACCGGACGCGGGACAUGGGCUGGGGCGUGCGGUCCCUGCAGGACAUCCCACUAGGCACCUUUGUCUGCGAGUAUGUUGGGGAGCUGAUUUCAGACUCAGAAGCCGACGUUCGAGAGGAAGAUUCUUACCUCUUUGAUCUCGACAAUAAGGACGGGGAGGUUUACUGCAUCGACGCGCGGUUCUACGGGAACGUCAGCCGGUUCAUCAACCACCACUGCGAGCCCAACCUGGUGCCCGUGCGCGUGUUCAUGGCCCACCAGGACCUGCGGUUCCCCCGGAUCGCCUUCUUCAGCACCCGCCUGAUCGAGGCCGGCGAGCAGCUCGGGUUUGACUAUGGAGAGCGCUUCUGGGACAUCAAAGGCAGGCUCUUCAGCUGCCGCUGCGGCUCCCCCAAGUGCCGGCACUCGAGCGCGGCCCUGGCCCAGCGUCAGGCCAGCGCGGCCCAGGAGGCCCAGGAGGACGGCUUGCCCGACACCAGCUCCGCGGCUGCCGCCGACCCCCUAUGAGACGCCGCCGGCCAGCGGGGCGCUCGGGAGCCAGGGACCGCCGCGUCGCCGUUUAGAGGACGAGGAGGAGAGAUUCCGCACGGAACCGAAAGGGUCCUUCGGGGCUGCGCCGCCGGCUUCCUGGAGGGGUCGGAGGUGAGGCUGCAGCCCCUGCGGGCGGGUGUGGAUGCCUCCCAGCCACCUUCCCAGACCUGCGGCCUCACCGCGGGCCCAGUGCCCAGGCUGGAGCGCACACUUUGGUCCGCGCCCCAAAGACGCUGGGAGUCCGCACUGGCAUCACCUUCUGAGUUUCUGAUGCUGAUUUGUCGUUGCGAAGUUUCUCGUUUCUUCCUCUGACCUCCGAGGUCCCCGCUGCACCACGGGGUUGCUCUGUUCUCCUGUCCGGCCCAGACUCUUCUGUGUGGCGCCGCCGAAGCCACCGUUAGCGCGAGCUGCUCCGUUCGCCCUGCCCGCGGCCUGCGUGGCUGGCGCCGAGUCCCAGGGGCCGCACGGAGGGCACAGUCUCCUGUCAGGCUCGGAGAGGUCAGGAGACCGACCCCACCACUAACCUUGGAGAAAAUGUGGGUUUGCUUUUUAAAGGAAUCCUAUAUCUAGUCCUAUAUAUCAAACCUCUAACUGACGUUUCUUUUCGAGGAAGUGGCUUGGUGGGUGCAGCCCCCGCCGGUUCCGUUGACGCUGGCACCUUCUGUUGAUUUUUUAAGCCACAUGCUAUGAUGAAUAAACUGAUUUAUUUUCUACCAUUACUGAACAUUAGGACAAACAAAAAAUAAAAAACAAAACACAGACAACGGUGCUGAUUCUGGUGUGGUUUCUACUCACCACGUGAAAUAAACUAUCAACUGUAUAAAGAGAACAAAGUGAUUUUAGAAUAAAAUGCAGGAAAAACUUUUUUAAAGAUGUUAGUCUUGUAGUGUGAAUAAAUUUGCCAUCACCUUUUGUGUGGUGGCCUGGCAGGUCAUAUACUUUUUUUUGGCAUAUACCUUUUUAAAGACUGUAAUUAGUGCAGUAACAGUGGGGUUUUUUUUGUGCAACUCUUCUAAAAACAUUCAUAAUGCAGUCAUGUUUAUUUUUUUCUGUUAAAAUGUUUUUGACAGUUUUAAGAGCAGUCUUUUGGCUCUGACCAUUUCU
rnacentral:sRNA from 1 species